CGUAAAGAGCUCGUAGGUGGUUUGUCGCGUUGUUCGUGAAAUCUCACGGCUUAACUGUGAGCGUGCGGGCGAUACGGGCAGACUUGAGUACUGCAGGGGAGACUGGAAUUCCUGGUGUAGCGGUGGAAUGCGCAGAUAUCAGGAGGAACACCGGUGGCGAAGGCGGGUCUCUGGGCAGUAACUGACGCUGAGGAGCGAAAGCGUGGGGAGCGAACAGGAUUAGAUACCCUGGUAGUCCACGCCGUAAACGGUGGGUACUAGGUGUGGGUUUCCUUCCUUGGGAUCCGUGCCGUAGCUAACGCAUUAAGUACCCCCGCCUGGGGAGUACGGCCGCGAGGCUAAAACUCAAAGAAAUUGACGGGGGCCCGCACAAGCGGCGGAGCAUGUGGAUUAAUUCGAUGCAACGCGAAGAACCUUACCUGGGUUUGACAUGCACAGGACGCCGGCAGAGAUGUCGGUUCCCUUGUGGCCUGUGUGCAGGUGGUGCAUGGCUGUCGUCAGCCCGUGUCGUGAGAUGUUGGGUUAAGUCCCGCAACGAGCGCAACCCUUGUCUCAUGUUGCCAGCGGGUAAUGCCGGGGACUCGUGAGAGACUGCCGGGGUCAACUCGGAGGAAGGUGGGGAUGACGUCAAGUCAUCAUGCCCCUUAUGUCCAGGGCUUCACACAUGCUACAAUGGCCGGUACAAAGGGCUGCGAUGCCGCGAGGUUAAGCGAAUCCUUUUAAAGCCGGUCUCAGUUCGGAUCGGGGUCUGCAACUCGACCCCGUGAAGUCGGAGUCGCUAGUAAUCGC
rnacentral:rRNA from 1 species